UACGUAGGGUGCAAGCGUUGUCCGGAAUUAUUGGGCGUAAAGAGCGCGCAGGCGGUGUAUCAAGUCAGAUGUGAAAUGUCCCGGCUUAACCGGGAAGGGUCAUUUGAAACUGGUAGACUAGAGUACAGCAGAGGAUAGCGGAAUUCCCGGUGUAGUGGUGAAAUGCGUAGAUAUCGGGAGGAACACCAGUGGCGAAGGCGGCUAUCUGGGCUGAAACUGACGCUGAGGCGCGAAGGCUAGGGGAGCAAACAGG
rnacentral:rRNA from 1 species